CAAAAGUCAGGGCUCAGUGAGCUGAUUUGCAUGACGUCCUCCCCCAACACCCAGGCAGCCUGGGGGAUAAAGUCCCUGGGUCUGUCCUGCCCACCUGUGGGUCUCAGCGGGCAGAGCUCUGGGUGCCUCCACUAUGGCCUGGGCUCCCCUCCUCCUCAUGCUUCUUGCUCAUGGCAUAGGGUCCUGGGCUCAGUCUGCCCUGACUCAGCCUCCCUCAGUGUCUGGGUCCCUGGGACAGACGGUCAGCAUCUCCUGUGCUGGAAGCAGCAGUGACAUUGGGGGUCAUAACUAUGUGUUCUGGUACCAACAGCACCUGGGCACAGCCCCCAAACUCCUCAUUUAUUAUGUCAAUAAAAGGCCCUCAGGGAUCCCUGAUCGCUUCUCUGGCUCCAAGUCUGGGAACACGGCCUCCCUGACCAUCUCUGGGCUCCUGGCUGAGGAUGAGGCAGAUUAUCACUGUGCAUCAUAUGCAAGUACCAGCUACAGCCACCACAGUGGUCCAAGUUCAUGGGGAAGUGAGACCAAAACCUCCGUCUUUGAUAUCUGCUGCCUCAUCUGUCCAUCAGCAGGGCUGCAGGUGCUUCCAUAUGUUAAACCCACUGAAAAUGUUGUUGCUUCUUGAAGUGAACUUGAUAAGAGAAGCCAACACGCAAAGAAUGUGACUUGGGAA